UACGUAGGGUCGCAAGCGUUGUCCGGAAUUAUUGGGCGUAAAGAGCUCGUAGGCGGCUUGUCGCGUCGACUGUGAAAACCCGCGGCUCAACUGUGGGCUUGCAGUCGAUACGGGCAGGCUGGAGUUCGGUAGGGGAGACUGGAACUCCCGGUGUAGUGGUGAAAUGCGUAGAGAUCGGGAGGAACACCCGUGGCGAAGGCGGCCUGCUGGGCCGAUCCUGACGCUGAGGCGCGAAGGCGUGGGGAGCGAACGGG
rnacentral:rRNA from 1 species